rnacentral:rRNA from 1 species
CCAAUAGCGUAUAUUAAAGUUGUUGCAGUUAAAAAGCUCGUAGUUGAAUUUCGGGGUUCUACCGUUGGUCGGGCUAUUGUCUGUACUGGUGUGUAGAAUUUCUACCUUCUGGGGAACUAUCAUGUUAUUAAUUUAGCGUGGUAGGAAACCAGGACCUUUACCUUGAAAAAAUUAGAGUGUUCAAAGCAGGCUUAUGUCUGAAUACAUUAGCAUGGAAUAAUAAAAUAGGACGGUGGUCCUGUUUUGUUGGUUUCUGAAUCACCGUAAUGAUUAAUAGGGAUAGUUGGGGGCAGUACUAUUAAAGUGUCAGAGGUGAAAUUCUUGGAUUUAUUGAAGACUAACUACUGCGAAAGCAUUUGCCAAGGAUGUUUUCAUUAAUCAAGAACGAAAGUUAGGGGAUCGAAGACGAUCAGAUACCGUCGUAGUCUUAACCAUAAACUAUGCCGACUAGGGAUCGGAUGAUGUUAAUUUUUUAAUGACUCAUUCGGCGCCUUACG